rnacentral:lncRNA from 1 species
CACACACAUACACUGCCCACCCAUAUACACACAGACCCCCAUACACAGCCCCCCAUACUAACAUUGCCACACACAUACACUGCCCACACACUCUACACAUUCACACACUACACCCCCACACACACACUGAACCUUUCACACACAUUGCACCACUGCUCCUAUUCCCUACUACAGCCUCAUAUCCCAGCAGACCCCAGGUAAGUUGUCAAACUGUUCUUAAACGGUUUGACUACCUACUCUGGAGCAGUAGUGGUUAUUGUGCAUGGAUUAUUUCUUUAAAUAAUCUACAAGUGCCCCAGUAGCCAGCCAGCCAACCCACAGGCUGGCCAGUAGCCAGCCCACAGGCCAGUAGCCAGCCCACAGGCCUACAGCAAGCCACAGGCUUACAGCCAGCAAGCCACAGGCUUACAGCCAGCAAGCCAUAGCCUGCCAGCCGCAGUCAGCAAGCCCACAGCCUGCCGGCAGUAGCCAGCAAGCCCACAGCCUGCCAGCCGCAGCCAGCAAGCCCACAGACUGCCAGCCAGCAACAGUAAUUAAGGUAAGAGGAGCCAACUUGGCUUAGG